GGGAAAUACAUUUGCCUAUUCCUGCUGUAUGGGGUCUCUGGCCCAGCACUUUUUAUGAUUAUGGUAUCCGUCACCACAGUCUUAGUUUUACACAAGGGACACCGGAUUAAAGAAAUUCAGGAAAAGAACCGCAGAAGGCUGAACACUGGUAACAAUUUCUAA
rnacentral:lncRNA from 1 species